CAUCGAAGGGAGGAGGUGGGGAAGAAGCAUUCCCCACUGAAACAGACCAGAGUCCCUUGGAAAGAUGGCUGAUUCCAAGACAGGGGAGUAACCUGUAUGUAGCCUGAACUCUAAGCCAGAGCACAACUUCUGAAGGUGGUAGAAGCUUCUGCAACAAGGCAAGAGGCAAAGGAUGCCAAGUGGUGGAUUCUUCACCAGUGAGCCUUCCAGGAAGCCCCUAGCUAAAUG
rnacentral:lncRNA from 1 species